UACGAAGGGGGCUAGCGUUGUUCGGAAUACUGGGCGUAAAGCGCGCGCAGGCGGUCCUUCAAGUCAGAGGUGAAAGCCCAGAGCUCAACUCUGGAAUGGCCUUUGAGACUAGAGGACUUGGGUACGGGAGAGGUGAGUGGAAUUCCGAGUGUAGAGGUGAAAUUCGUAGAUAUUCGGAAGAACACCAGUGGCGAAGGCGGCUCACUGGCCCGUUACCGACGCUCAGGCGCGACAGCGUGGGGAGCAAACAGG
rnacentral:rRNA from 1 species